UAAAAUAACCGAUCUUAAAAGAACUUUUAAAAUCGGUUAUUUUAUGACCGAUUUUAAAAGUGCUACUUUUAAAAUCGGUUAUUUUA
rnacentral:miRNA from 1 species